CAUGGCUGUGCAUUACCUCGACCACAAUUGCCAAUGCUUACAAACAUGCAGGACUAAUGAAGUCGAGGAUGUUCAUUUCCGUACUGGCAAGAAGCAAACGAAGAUCACUUACAUCGAGUGCGUGAGGAUACACAAAAUUUGCAGCCAUUCUACAAUUAAACGAAAUUGAAAAUGGAGCCAUAAAGAAACUGAUGCUGAAAAUACACCACCAGGGGUUAUUUUGUCGGUUCCUCAAAAAUAUAAAGGAAAAUCUGAGGAAAAGAUCUUCAUCAUCGCGAUUUCGAGCACUGCUAUAUUGGUAGCAGACUUUAUUUUCAAAGAAGUGCAAAACCUGCCCCAAAGGUACAUAUUCAGACCAGAAUGAAUGAUAAAAAAAAAUGCAAAAUGUGUUAUUCCGAGAUGAGCAAAAGAAGCGCUCAAUACGCCAUAACUUUUAUAAUUAUUGUGUUAAAUUUUUUUAAUUUAAACUGAUGUCCUAGUCAUUGAGGGGAAAACUUUUUGGAGGAUCGCAACUCAUGGUCACAGGGGCA